UAUAUCUUUGCCCCAAAACGAACAACUUUAAAAAAUAAUUUUACUUAUGCAUUUAUAGAAUUUGAUUGUGUCGCCACUACAACAAAAACGGUCUAUAGUGACACUUUUAAAUGUCGUUAUAAGUCAAAAAAAAGUGCUGCUUACUAAAUUACCGACACUUUUAAAAAGUGUUGCUAUAUAUGGGGUGGCUAGAUAUAUAGUAACAGUUAAAGAGUGUCGCUAUAACAUAAAAAGAGUGCUGCUAAUUUACUAACACUUAUUUAAGCAUUUAGCAACCGCCGGAACACACCUCGUUGGCUGCGGUGGCGGAGGAAGAGGAGAGGGAAGGGCUCUUCGUCUAGGAUUUCAGUAAAUUGAGCGAGGGGAGAAGGGGAGAUGACAAUCGAUUUUUCUUUUUUUUUUCUUUUUUGUUUGUAAUCGGGCCGAAUGGGCUGGAUGGGAUUGGUUGAGUAGAAUAAUCUUUUAUUUUUGGUUGGAUUGGGCUUUAUACUUAAGCAUUAGUAGAUUUUUUUUAAGUUUUGGCAUAAAUGGAACACUUACACAAAAGUGUCCCAAACAUGUAUCGCUAUAAUCUAAUUCUGUUGUAGUGAUAAAAUAAAUUAUUUUAUUUAAUCAUAAUCUUAAAUUGUUUAGGUUAAAAUUUUCUUUGAUUGCAGUCAGCUGAUUUGAUAAAAAGAAAUAGCAAAAAACUAUAGUAGAUUAAUUGAUUAUGUUUAAUUUGCAGGUUUGUUAAAAUUUAAAUUAUUUUAAAAUUUUAAAUCUGUUAAUAAUUAUAAAAAUUAUCUUAUAAUGGUUGUUUUAUAUGUAGA
rnacentral:lncRNA from 1 species